AUAGAUCUAUCAUCAUUCAAAUAGGUUGGAAAAAUAUUUUUGUAUUUUUUGGAUAUCAAAAACUAUUUAAAAUGAAUUAAAAAUAAGCAGAAAAGAGAAAAUUCCUAAAAAAUAUCAAAUGAUAAAAUAAAAAAUAUUAAAAAUCAUUUUUAGAAAGUAAAAAUUAAAAGGAGAAAAAUGAAAUUGGUCUCGUAUUUUUUGGACCAAUAAUGAAGGAGUUAUGAAUUUUUAAAAAGAAAUGGAAUUAAAAAAAAUAAAAGAAAUAGAAAUCAGAAAUUAAAAAAAUGAAAAUUUGUGGACCGUCUGGUGGUACUUCAUUAAUUGACGUGGAUCAUCACACGGCUAAGAAGCGCGCGUUCACCAUAUGCACAAGUC
rnacentral:lncRNA from 1 species